GGAAUUUUGGGCAAUGGGCGAAAGCCUGAUCCAGCCAUGCCGCGUGAGUGAUGAAGGCCCUAGGGUUGUAAAGCUCUUUCCGCGGGGAAGAUAAUGACGGUACCCGCAGCAGAAGCCCCGGCUAACGUCGUCCCAGCAGCCGCGGUAAUACGAAGGGGGCUAGCGUUGUUCGGAAUUACUGGGCGUAAAGCGCGCGUAGGCGGAUUGCUAAGUCAGGGGUGAAAUCCCGAGGCUCAACCUCGGAACUGCCUUUGAUACUGGCUGUCUUGAGUCCGGGAGAGGUGAGUGGAAUUCCUAGUGUAGAGGUGAAAUUCGUAGAUAUGAGGAAGAACACCAGUGGCGAAGGCGGCUCACUGGCCCGGUACUGACGCUCAUGUGCGAAAGCGUGGGGAGCAAAC
rnacentral:rRNA from 1 species